rnacentral:rRNA from 1 species
UACGAAGGGGGCUAGCGUUGCUCGGAAUUACUGGGCGUAAAGCGCACGUAGGCGGCUUUCUAAGUCGGGGGUGAAAUCCUGGAGCUCAACUCCAGAACUGCCUUCGAUACUGGCGAUCUUGAGUCCGGAAGAGGAGAGUGGAAUUCCUGGUGUAGCGGUGAAAUGCGCAGAUAUCAGGAAGAACACCCGUGGCGAAGGCGGCUCUCUGGGACGGUUCUGACGCUGAGACGCGAAAGCGUGGGGAGCGAACAGG